rnacentral:rRNA from 1 species
UACGGAGGUCCCAAGCGUUGUUCGGAAUUACUGGGCGUAAAGGGAGCGCAGGCGGACAGGUCAGUCUAAAGUGGAAAUCCGAGGCUCAACCUCGGACUUGCUUCGGAUACUUCCUGUCUUGAGUUCGUGAGAGGAAGAUGGAAUUCAGGGUGUAGCGGUGAAAUGCUCAGAUAUCCUGAGGAACACCGGUGGCGAAAGCGGUCUUCUGGCGCGAAACUGACGCUGAGGCUCGAAAGCGUGGGGAGCAAACGGGAUUAGAUACCCCGGUAGUCCACGCCGUAAACGUUGUGUGCUAGGUGUAGGAGGUAUCGACCCCUUCUGUGCCGCAGCUAACGCAUUAAGCACACCGCCUGGGGAGUACGCUCGCAAGAGUGAA